rnacentral:rRNA from 1 species
GACGAACGCUGGCGGCGUGCCUAAUACAUGCAAGUUGAGCGAUGAAGAUUGGUGCUUGCACCAAUUUGAAGAGCAGCGAACGGGUGAGUAACGCGUGGGGAAUCUGCCUUUGAGCGGGGGACAACAUUUGGAAACGAAUGCUAAUACCGCAUAACAACUUUAAACAUAAGUUUUAAGUUUGAAAGAUGCAAUUGCAUCACUCAAAGAUGAUCCCGCGUUGUAUUAGCUAGUUGGUGAGGUAAAGGCUCACCAAGGCGAUGAUACAUAGCCGACCUGAGAGGGUGAUAGGCCACAUUGGGACUGAGACACGGCCCAAACUCCUACGGGAGGCAGCAGUAGGGCAUCUUCGGCGAUGGACGAAAGUCUGACCGAGCAACGCCGCGUGAGUGAAGAAGGUUUUCGGAUCGUAAAACUCUGUUGGUAGAGAAGAACGUUGGUGAGAGUGGAAAGCUCAUCAAGUGACGGUAACUACCCAGAAAGGGACGGCUAACUACGUG